rnacentral:rRNA from 1 species
UACGGAGGGUGCAAGCGUUAUCCGGAUUUACUGGGUUUAAAGGGUGUGUAGGCGGACUUUUAAGUCCGUGGUGAAAUCUCCGGGCUCAACCCGGAAACUGCCAUGGAUACUAUUGGUCUUGAAUGUUGUGGAGGUGGGCGGAACGGGUCAUGUAGCGGUGAAAUGCUUAGAGAUGACCCGGAACACCGAUUGCGAAGGCAGUCCGCUACGCAACUAUUGACGCUGAGGCACGAAAGCGUGGGGAUCAAACAGG